AUGGCGGCCGUGAACAAGUCCGUCGAGCGGCUGGCGCAGCGCCUGGUGGCGCCGGCCGAGCCCACGCCGGUCGGCCCGCUCCGCCUGUCCUGGCUCGACCGCUACCCCACCCAGAUGGCGCUCAUCGAGUCGCUGCACGUCUUCAAGCCGGCUCUUGACCGGCAUUUUGACGGCGGCGACGACGCUGGCCCGGCGAGGACCAUCGAACGGGCUCUGGCGCAGGCUCUUGUCAACUACUACCCGCUCGCCGGCCAUCUGGGGUUCACGGAGGAAGGUGGGCUGCUGCAGGUCGACUGCGGCGGUGAGGGCAGCGGCGUCUGGUUCACGGAGGCCGCGGCUGCCUGCGCGCUCGAGGACGUGGAGUACCUGGAGCACCCCAUGAUGAUCGCCAAGGACGAGCUGCUCCCGCCCACGCCCGCUCAGGAGGAGGACGAGCGCAGGCUCGUCCUGCUCGUCCAGGUCACCACCUUCGCGUGCGGUGGCUUCGUCGUCGGCUUCCGCUUCAGCCACGCCGUCUCCGACGGCCCCGGCGCCGCGCAGUUUAUGGCCGCCGUCGGUGAGCUCGCCCGCGGCCGUAGCAGCGUGGAAGGCCUGGCGGUGGAGCCGCAAUGGGGCCGCGAGGCGAUCCCGGACCCGGCCGGCGCCGUCGUCGGCAGCCUGCCGAGCCCCGCAGGCGCCAAGCGGCUCGAGUACCUCGCCAUGGACAUCUCCGCGGACUACAUCAACCACUUCAAGUCUCAGUACAACUCGUCACACACCGGCUCCUGGUGCUCGGCGUUCGAGGUGCUGGUGGCCAAGGCGUGGCAGAGCCGCACCCGCGCGGCGGGGUUCGAGCCGGACUCCACCGUGCACCUCUGCUUCGCCAUGAACGCGCGGCCCCUCCUGCACGCCUCGCUCCCGCGCGCCGGCGCCGGGUUCUACGGCAACUGCUACUACAUCAUGCGCGUCUCGGCGCCCGCGGGAAAGGUGUCCGGCUCCUCCAUCCCGGAAGUGGUGAAGAUCAUCAAGGACGGGAAGAGACGGAUGCCCUCCGAGUUCGCGCGAUGGGCGACCGGGGAGGCCGGCGCCGACGGCGGCGAGGACCCGUACCAGAUCACGUCGGACUACCGCACGCUACUGGUGUCGGACUGGACGCGGCUCGGGUUCGCCGAGGUGGACUACGGCUGGGGCCCGCCGGCGCACGUCGUGCCGCUCACGAACCUGGACUACAUCGCGACGUGCAUCUUGGUGAAGCCGUGGGCGCACAAGCCAGGGGCGCGGCUCAUCACCCAGUGCGUGACGCCCGACCGUGUCGCCGCCUUCCACCAGGGAAUGCUGGACAUGAACUGA
rnacentral:rRNA from 1 species